UCGGAUUAUAAACUAGUAUAAAUAAGCCAUGAUCAACAAUUGAGGCAUAUUGUAUAAUCACGAAUACAAAGAAUCUAAGUAAAGGAUCAAAAUGAACAAGCUUAUAAUUUUUGCAGGCCUAUUUGUUAGUUUGAUCUUCGUUAUGAACUCGGUUGUUGCUCAAAAUCCUUCACCUAUGCCUCCACCAAUGGGAAUGCCAAAACCUUCACUUGCAAGACUUCAUGGUGCAAUCAUUAGAAAUAACAUAAUGAAUUUAGGGCGUGCUUUAGAUAAUAAGCCUCAUAAUAAGCCAAUGACACAAGGUUUGGCUUUUCCAAAUGUAACAAAAGAACAAAUUGAAAAGAAAAUGAAAAAAAAUUAAAGAAAAAAAACAUUUUGUAAGUUAAAGUUAAAUGUUUUGAAAUAAAGUCCUUAAGCAUUUUAAA